GGUUGCUACUUGAAAGAUGGUUCUGCUAUCACUAAGAGAUGGUCCCGCGGCGCAUUAGUUAGUUGGUGAGGUAAUGGCUCACCAAGACGAUGAUGCGUAGCCGAGUUGAGAGACUGAUCGGCCACAAUGGGACUGAGACACGGCCCAUACUCCUACGGGAGGCAGCAGUAGGGAAUCUUCCACAAUGGACGAAAGUCUGAUGGAGCAACGCCGCGUGUGUGAUGAAGGGUUUCGGCUCGUAAAACACUGUUGUAAGAGAAGAAUAGCAUCAAGAGUAACUGCUUGGUGUGUGACGGUAUCUUACCAGAAAGGAACGGCUAAAUACGUGCCAGCAGCCGCGGUAAUACGUAUGUUCCAAGCGUUAUCCGGAUUUAUUGGGCGUAAAGCGAGCGCAGACGGUUUUUUAAGUCCGAAGUGAAAGCCCACAGCUUAACUGUGGAAGUGCUUUGGAAACUGGAUGACUUGAGUGCAGUAGAGGAGAGUGGAAUUCCAUGUGUAGCGGUGAAAUGCGUAGAUAUAUGGAGGAACAC
rnacentral:rRNA from 1 species